rnacentral:rRNA from 1 species
UACGUAGGAUGCAAGCGUUGUCCGGAAUUAUUGGGCGUAAAGAGCGCGCAGGCGGUAUGGCAAGUCAGAUGUGAAAGAGGCCGGCUUAACCGGCAAGGGUCAUUUGAAACUGUCAGACUAGAGUGCAGCAGAGGAUAGUGGAAUUCCCGGUGUAGUGGUGAAAUGCGUAGAUAUCGGGAGGAACACCAGUGGCGAAGGCGACUAUCUGGGCUGCAACUGACGCUGAGGCGCGAAGGCUAGGGUAGCAAACAGG